AUACCUCCAUAAUGAUGAUAGCUUCAUACCAAACUCAGAGCAAUUAUGUUGAAAUCUUUUUAACAUGCAUCACCAUCUGAUUGCAACAUC